rnacentral:tRNA from 2 species
UCCCUGAUAGCUCAGUCGGUAGAGCAGCGGACUGUUAAUCCGUUGGUCGCAGGUUCGAGUCCUGCUCGGGGAGCCA